ensembl:lncRNA
GGAGAAUGUAUGUCAGUCAUUGUAAGAUAAUUCCCCAUUCAGCACUACUUUAUAUCGUACAUUAACACAUGUAGCUGUAAGAGAUUCAAACGAUUGCUCCAUUUUAUUUGGGCUCCUGUCCUGGAAAAUACAGUUGAAGUUUACAUGCACCUUAGCCAAAUACAUUUCAACUCAGUUUUUCACAAUUCCUGACAUUUAAUCCGAGUAAAAAUUCCCUAUCUUAGGUCAGUUAGAUCACCACUUUAUUUUAAGGAUGUGAAAUGUCAGAAUAAUAGAGUGAUUUAUUUCAGCUUUUAUUUCUUUCAUCACAUUCCCAGUGGGUCAGAAGUUUACAUACACUCAAUUAGUAUUUGGUAGCAUUGCCUUUAAAUCGUUUAACUUGGGUGAAAUGUUUCGGGUAGCAUUCCACAAGCUUCCCACAAUAAGUUGGGUGGAUUUUGGCCCAUUCCUCCUGACAGAGCUGGUGUAACUGAGUCAGGUUUGUAGGCCUCCUUCCUCGCACACACUUUUUCAGUUCUGUCCACAAAUGUUCUAUAGGUUUGAGGUCAGGGCUUUGUGAUGGCCACUCCCAAUACCUUGACUUUGUUGUCCUUAAGCCAUUUUGCCACAACUUUGGAAGUAUGCUUGGGGUCAUUGUCCAUUUGGAAGACCCAUUUGCGACCAAGCAUUAACUUCCUGACUGAUGCUUCAAUAUAUCCACAUAAUUUCCCUUUCCUCAUGAUGUCAUCUAUUUUGUGAAGAGCACCAGUCCCUCCUGCAGCAAAGCACCCCCACAACAUGAUGCUGCCACCCCCGUGCUUCACGGUUCGGAUGAUGUUCUUCGGCUUGCAAGCAUCCCCCUUUUUCCUCCGAACAUAACGAUGGUCAUUAUGGCCAAACAGUUAUAUUAUUAUUUCAUCAGACCAGAGGACAUUUAUCCAAAAAGUACGAUCUUUGUCCCCAUGUGCAGUUUCAAACCGUAGUCUGGCUUUUUUAUGGCAGUUUUCUUGCGGAGCGGCCUUUCAGGUUAUGUCGAUAUAGGACUUGUUUUACUGUGUAUAUAGAUACUUUUGUACCUGUUUCCUCCAGCAUAUUCACAUGGUCCUUUGCUGCUGUUCUGGGAUUGAUUUGCAUUUAUCACACCAAAGUAUGUUAAUCUCUAGGAGACAGAACGUGUCUCUUUCCUGAGCGGUAUAACGGCUGUGUAGUCCCAUGGUGUGUGUACUUGCGUACUGUUUGUACAGUUGAACGUGGUACCUUCAGGUGUUUGGAAAUUGCUCCCAAGGAUGAACCAGGCUUGUGGAGGUCUACAAUUUAUUUUCUGAGGUCUUGGAUGAUUUCUUUUGAUUUUCCCAUGAUGUCAAGCAAAGAGGCACUGAGUUUGAAGGUAGGCCUUGAAAUACAUCCACAGGUACACCUUCAAUUGACUCAAAUGAUGUCAAUUAGCCUAUCAGAAGCUUCUAAAGCCAUGACAUGAUUUUCUGGAGUUUUAUAAGCUGUUUAAAGGCACAGUCAUCUUAGUGUAUGUAAUCUUCUGACCUACUGGAAUUGUGAUCCAGUGAAAUAAUCUGUCUAUAAACAAUUGUUGGAAAAUGUACUUGUGUCGUGCACAAAGUAAUGUCCUAACCGACUUGCCAAAACUUUGUUAACAAGAAAUUUGUGGAGUGGUUGAAAAAUGAGUUUUGAUGACUCCAACCUAAGUGUAUGUAAACUUCCGACAUCAACUGUAUAUUUUAUUAGUUCUGUGCUUUUUGAAGUAUUUCUAGCCUCCACCGUAUGGUUGAUUAGUCAUUCUUGGUGACUGUCAAGUCAAACUACUGCUCCAUCUGGACUUUCUGAAACAUACAAUUCAAGGUUAAUGGUUACUUUAUUUUUAAGUGGAAGUGCAACUUUCCCCUCUUUUAUAAGCGCUUCCCUUUCACACAUUUUAGCCCUCUUGGUAUUUCAGCAAAGACUGACCACUGGCAUCACUUCUGAUUUCCAACCUUCAUGGCACAGAUAUUUUAAAUCAAACUUCAUUUUGCAAUAUACUGGUAUAUUUAUUAUUAGGCGUUUCUCUGUGUGCUUUCACCUUGGUGAAAUUGUUAGGAUGGCUUUUAGUGCCCCAUAAAGUUCUGAACAUCAAGCUUUGACUUGCAAAAUUACAUUUUAAUUAAAUUGUCUAUUUCUUUAUAGAUAUUACAAAACAACUUUCUGAAUAGUAAGGCAGAGGUUACAUAAAAGGGUUUCUAUGGUAUAUAUUGAAUCAGAAUAAUUGUUGCAUGUGAAGCGAAACACAACGGCCACAUUUGAAAUGUACCUUGACAAAUUGAAAUGAGUUUUCUUUUUAUAUUGCCUUAGUCAUUUUUGUCUUGCAUGAUGUCUCUCCUUUGUGCUUUAUUGUUAAUGUGUCUUUUAAAGUUAAAUUGUUUAGUUAACAUGCUAGCUAUUAAAUCUCUUGUCAACAUUGUUUUACAUUAAAUGCUAGCUUCUCUAACUUGUUACAUUUCUACAAUAGGUUAAGAGAUUAGAUUUAAAGUUAGGUGUUACAAUACCCUUGUUCUGGAUUCAACAGCUACGCAACUUUGCUUUGUAAACAUUCCCUCUGUACAAUGUAUAGAAAGUUGGUCUCUCUGCUGUAAGUAAGUUGUGUAUUUUCUGUUCUGGACAACCUGGUGUAAUAGCUACAUGACUGGAGACUGGUCUAUAAUGUUUUAUGGAACGUCUUUCUUUUCAUUAGGUUGCCAAUGCAAUUUAUUGUUUGUCAAUACACAGCUACUUCAUGUUCUGUGAAACCAUAGCUUUUUGCCACCCAUUUUUUAAAUUUCUCUCAGUAGUGAUUUGGAUAGCAUUGGACCACAGCUAUGAUUUGACCUGCAGUAAUGAAGUCCACCCAUCCUUACAUGAACUAGUAGUUACAGUAUUGUGGACUGGACUGUCAGUUUGAAGAAUACCUGGAUUAUCAUCCUCCUAAAUUAAUUAAUUUAUUAUUCAUUGUCAUGUGGCAUAUAGCUGAAAUGUUGACAUUUUAAAUUAAUCAAUCAUUAGGUGGUUCCAAAACAAUUUUCAUUUUGUGUCAAAUUGUCAUCUGAUUGUAUGGUUUUAGUGUUCAAUGAGACCUACUGUACACCAGUGAAAGAAAGCACUUUCAAAAGCACAGUGUGUAUUUCUCCAUGACUAUCUAAGACUGUGUAUACACAUGCAUCCCAACUCUAUUUUUCUACCAGUUGGUAUUUUGAUCAAUCAAAUCUGCUCUAUUGCACAUAAUUGGGCAGAAGAUCAGAAUUGGGCUGCCUGUGUAAACACAGCCUUAGAGAGACAUAGUGUACAAAACAUUAGGAAAACCUUCCUAAUAUUGAGUUUUGCCCUCAGCAGCCUCAAUUCGACAGGGCAUAGACUACAAGGUGUCAAGCGUUCCACAGGGUUGCUGGCCCAUGUUGACCCCAGUCCUUCCCACAGUUGAAGUGGCUGUAACAGGUGACAUCAAUAAGAGAUCAAAGCAUUCACCUGGUCAGUCUGUGUCAUGGAAAGAGCAGGUAUUCCUAAUGUUUUGUAUACUCUGUAUAUAAUACCUAUAAUAUAAUUUUUAGACCCCAAAAGCAGCACCUUCAACCGCAUACAGAGGGAACUGAACAUAUUUCUGUUUAUCUUUUUGAAAAAAAGCAACCAAUUUUUGGGACAGUUCCACCACAGUAACCCCCUAUACAUAAACUGACCGUAAGUGUCCUUGUAUAAGCUGGUGAAAAAUGAAACUUGUUUCAACAAUGUGGGGGGGUGUAUCAAAGUUAAAAUAUUUUGACAAAUAUUUUGUUCUAUUUUUGAAAAUGCAAUGUGUCACUUGUAAAAAGGUUCUUCUGAAGUAUGUAAGUCAUAUACAGUCAUUAUUGCAGACAGUUCUCAGUUAAUAUUAGAUAAUUGUUUGAUUGUGAAUAUGUUGAGCUUGGGCAAUUGAGGACAAAAUCUUCUUCCUUUUGAGACCUGAGUUAUUUUGACUCAGAUUUUCAUACUGGAUCAUUGAACUAAAGGAAGCAUAAAAAAAACUAUUGUUAGUCAAGUUAUGAUAAAGUAUUGAAUUAUUCAAUUUUGCAGGUGGUUGAUCAAAAGCCAGAUGUUGAUUUGCAUAGUCUUUUAAGUUGUCCAUUUGAGUGAUCUGUUUUAUAUAUAUAUAUAUAAAUAUGUCAUGUACUGCUUUAAUUGUAGCUGAUUUAUUUCAGUAAAUUACUAUUAGAUGUGAGAUCUGAUUUGAAUGUUUUUAUUUUAUUUGGAAGGACAUGAUGAACUUUCUCAGUACAGCAGGCCUACAGUUUCUUUAGUAAUAUUAACG